rnacentral:rRNA from 1 species
CAGUCGCCGCGGUAAUACGAAGGGUGCAAGCGUUAAUCGGAAUUACUGGGCGUAAAGCGUGCGUAGGCGGUGAGUUAAGUCUGCUGUGAAAUCCCCGGGCUCAACCUGGGAACUGCAUUUGUGACUGGCAAGCUAGAGUGUGGCAGAGGGGGGUGGAAUUCCGCGUGUAGCAGUGAAAUGCGUAGAUAUGCGGAGGAACACCGAUGGCGAAGGCAGCCCCCUGGGCCAACACUGACGCUCAUGCACGAAAGCGUGGGGAGCAAACAGGAUUAGAUACCCCUGUAGUCCCUGUCUCUUAUAC